UCCGCGCUACGUUGGCGUGGCGUACAUUGUGUGCUCUACGGCGGCGUAAUGUGCGCCUUGCUCUCUGUGAAUCUGAGCCCAUAUGGGCAAAGGUUUGUGGACAUCCCACUCCAAAACCCCGGAAAUAAUUAUGGAGUUGUUAUUCCUCCCCACUACAACCCCCCCCCCCCCCCACCCCCACUCUCUGGGAAGGCUUACAAAGUCUUUGUGGUGUUGAAAGAAAGGACCCAUCUGCCAAUUGGCAUUCCAGUUUAUUCCAUUUUAAAAAUUCUGAGGGGUAUCCACAUAUGUUUCACAAUACAUUUCACUUUAACAAAGCAUUGUUGGUCUGUUAUCACAACAACACCGUGGGUAAAGAUUAAAUACAUAUAGAAAUACUUUGCCAAAAUAGUUUUUUUUUUUCUAUAUGUCACGUCCACUUACUUUAGUUAAAGGUGCAAUCAACACAAGCAUAGUAUCCAAAACUGGAGCAUAAGUAUAUCAUUUUGCUACUAAUACAUUUUAUAUUGAUAUCUCUUGUCACAUCCGUUUCCUGAUACUAGGAAAUAUAAUUUUUGGGUAAUUUGGAAGAAGAAAAAAGAAGAUUACCAAAAGAAACAUUGUGUGACCAUCCUCUGAUUGCAUCACAUGCUGAAACCAAACCUUAUUCAACAACUGAGUUACAGCAAGAAUUGGCCAAAUGUAUUGUGACAUAAGUGAAUAAUGCUUUUGAAAAUAAUACUUAUGCUAGGCAACAAGCUCAAUACACUGAUAAAAACAAAAAAAUAUGUAAUUACAUCUGAAGGCUAUAUCAAUUUGAUGGCUGACAGUGAAUCAUGAAUUCUACCUUUGGGAUUUGCACUCGGGCCAACUUGUAAGUUUUUUAAAAAAAAAGAUAUAUUAACAUAGUGGGAAGGAAGGAAACAUCAUCAUUAUAUUUAUAUUUUACAUGUUUUCUGUUAGCUGUGCAUAAAUGCUUAACUGUAUGCCAGUUGUUUAAAAAGCAGUAGGAAAGACCUUAGUCUGGGAAUGAAACUGCAGAGGAAUUCAAUGUCACAAAUUUCUACAAGAAUUAUAUACUGUAAUUCAUUUCUAGGAUUGUUAAUCAUAUCACAAAAUAUUUCCCCUUAUGUUUAUAGAGGACAUUUGAUAAAGGAUGAUAUUCUAUAUGUGUGUGUGAGAGAUUGUGAUCAAAGUUAUGUAAAUAGCAAUGUGUUAAAAAUUGUUUCUAUUUUUAUAUAUACAUAUAUAGCUGUAUAUGGGGCCACAGUUGUGUUUUGAAUACAUGCUAUGCUUCCUGAUUAGGAACAUAGCAUAACUACAUAUAGGUAUGAGAGUGGUCAGAGGUGCCGGCACAAUCAGACCACCCUCCAUUAUAUGCCUCAGCUGGGACUU